AGAGAAUUGCCUCUGCUGAAACAAAGCAAAAACAAGAUUUUCACAAUGCUGAAAGUUGUCAUUCUUCUGCUCGCAAUCGCAACCGUAACAUCGGCUUUAUUUAGUCAAUGUAACCAGGAUGCAAAGGAGUAUAAUGUCAACUGUCCUAAUGCACUCAAGCAAGAAAUUUGGACGUACAACAGAAAAAAGGAAAAAUGUGUAAAGAAAAAGGGCUGCUAUUCCAACGAUGGCAAGAAUGUCUUUAAUACCGAAGCUAGCUGUAUCUUGGGCUGUGGCAUUAAGUCAUAAAAUGUAUCAUUUGAUAUGCUUCUUGGUCCAACAUAUAAAUUCUUAACUUGUCUUCUUACAUAUGUAUCGGAAUGAAAAGUAAGGAAUUGACACGUUUGGCAAAUAAAGCUUAUGUCUCUUA